rnacentral:rRNA from 1 species
UACGAAGGGGGCUAGCGUUGCUCGGAAUCACUGGGCGUAAAGCGCACGUAGGCGGCUUUUUAAGUCAGGGGUGAAAUCCUGGAGCUCAACUCCAGAACUGCCCUUGAUACUGAGGAGCUUGAGUCCGGGAGAGGUGGAGUGGAACUGCGAGUGUAGAGGUGAAAUUCGUAGAUAUUCGCAAGAACACCAGUGGCGAAGGCGGCUCACUGGCCCGGUACUGACGCUGAGGUGCGAAAGCGUGGGGAGCAAACAGG